AUUGUCAUCCCUGAUCACUGUGAUUAAGGAGUUGAGCUCUAAUAUAUCAUGCAUGCAACUGUUAGGCAUCUAUAGGAUUAUAAUCUCUAACACCUGAAUAGAAACCCUACAUCUAAUAUCUUCCAAUAAAGUUACACCCCCAAUCAUCUUGUUAGUCGAGCAAUAGACUUGCUCAAUCAGGAUUGUUAUUUACUUUUAAACCAUAAGACAAACAAACACCUAGAAUUAAUAACCUGACUAGAUUUAAUGGGUUCCAUAGCUCCUUGUGGAUUCGAUCCCUAAGUACUGCAACUAAACCUCUUAUUUGAGAGAGUAAUUCACUCGUUAGAUUUAGUGUUAUUGAUUCUUAUUCUUUUCUCAACCCCCAU
rnacentral:lncRNA from 1 species